rnacentral:rRNA from 1 species
GACGAACGCUGGCGGCGUGCUUAACACAUGCAAGUCGAACGGAAAGGCCUUUUCGGAGGUACUCGAGUGGCGAACGGGUGAGUAACACGUGGGUGAUCUGCCCUGCACUCUGGGAUAAGCCUGGGAAACUGGGUCUAAUACCGGAUAGGACCGCACUUUAGUGUGUGUGGUGGAAAGUUUUUUCGGUGUAGGAUGAGACCGCGGCCUAUCAGCUUGUUGGUGGGGUAAUGGCCUACCAAGGCGGCGACGGGUAGCCGGACUGAGAGGUUGGUCGGCCACAUUGGGACUGAGAUACGGCCCAGACUCCUACGGGAGGCAGCAGUGGGGAAUAUUGCACAAUGGGCGCAAGCCUGAUGCAGCGACGCCGCGUGGGGGAUGACGGCCUUCGGGUUGUAAACUCCUUUCGCCAGGGACGAAGCGUUUUGUGACGGUACCUGGAGAAGAAGCACCGGCUAACUACGUG